GGUGUGGACAACGGUUGCUGGGCGGCCCGGGAGGCUGGUCCAAUGAGGAGAGGGCGUCGUCAGUGAUAGACACUAAUGUGAAUGAGUCCAGUAAGAAGAGUGGAUUGAAAAGGUAACCAGCGUUGAGUAACAAGUAUCUUUGGAAAAAUCCACUCUAGCUUCAGAAUAGCUGGCUUAAAAUGAACUUUCCUAAUGGAACCACUCCAUGGGAUUAUUUUGUCCUGCAUUCUUGGGAACUUGGCAGUGACUUAGAUUGUUUACCUAGACUUUUAAGGUCUAAGUGAACCAACUCUUCUUUUGAUGAAUACAGUUCCCCAUAAGGACAACUCAUGUGUUUGGAACAGGCAGCUGGAUCAAAGUGAAUUGAAAGUGCUCAGGAGAAGAACAGAAUGAAUAGCCCCCAAAGGAGGAAGAUUUAGCUGAGGCUGAAAUUGGAACUGGGUGCAGGGCACCUCCUACAAUCUCUGUGAGAGUCAGGAGACCUAGGUGAUGCAAGAGUCCUGUGCAAUUCAUAGGGCCCUAAGUGGCAGAACCGGUAAGGUGAGGUCAGUCAAGCAGUCUCAGCUCAAGUUCAAAGCAGAGUGACUGCUCCAGCAUGAAGGGUUACUGACCAACCUCCUUCUCUUCUGAGGAUCAGAAGGGACAGAAUGAUGACAACUGUGCCUGCACUUAAGUCAGUGACACUGCCUAUGUGUCUUAACAAAUCUAAUGUAACAGUGAUUUAAAUCAAGUUUCACAAUAAAUCCUAAACAGAAGUGACCUGUGCCCCUUCAGGUUGUAUGUGUUUGUAUGUGAGGGAAAUGAGCCAUAAAUGUCUCUUGGGGAGGGGGUUGCUUUUUGGCUCAUCUAUUGCCCCCUGUGAGUAUUGCAGUGACACCAGAGAUCAGGUCAGUCUAAAUAUGGGGACUGGUAUCCAACAGAGCAAUAAAAGUUUGAGUUCUUUUCCUCCCCAAAGUUCUUAGCGUACUUAGCUUUUUCCUUAAAUCAGCUGAGGUUUGAGUAGAGGGAGAGGGUGUAAAAGGAGACACAGAAGGGCAGAGCCACCUAGUGUCAGUAAGCAAGGCUUUUUUAAGUUCCAAGCAGCUGCCUGCUCAGCCUCAAUAAAUGAACUUCUAAAUUUCUGCCCAAAGCUCUGUAUCUUCAUUGCUGACACCAUUGUCAACGCAAGUAACCAAUAAUCAAUCUAGAUUUAAAAUGAGGUGCGUGUAUUGUAUGAGCCAGUUCUUUUUUUUUUUUUUUUUUUGGUGAGGAAGAUUAGCCCUGAGCUAACAUCUGUUGCCAAUCUUCCUCUCUUUGCUGAGGAAGACUGGCCCUGGGCUAACAUAUGUGCCCAUCUUCCUCUACUUUAUAUAUGGGAUGCUUUCACAGCAUGGCUUGAUAAGCAGUGCAUAGGUCCACACCCGAGAUCCGAACCUGUGAAGCCCGGGCCGCCGAAGCGGAGUGCGCGAACUUAACCACUACGCCACUGGGCCAGCCCUAUAUGAGCCAGUUCUGAGGACAAUAGCCCAGGAGAGCAGCCUCUACCAGGGAAGGAAGCACUGCAGAGAAGUGAGGUGGACAGCAGGGUUAUAUACCAUUUUGGAACAAGGAACAUACAUCAAGUAUGACAGGACUACUUUUUUUCUUUUUACUGCAGUCACAAGAUGUUUUGCUACAUACAGGUCAAUAGUCACAAGAUGUACACAGCAGGUCAGUCUGACCCUGGUUUCUGGGAAGGAAUGCUUAUCUUUAAAGAAAUACUGAGCCACCCCUGAUGGCCUAGUGGUUAAAGUUUGAGACACUCUGCUUCAGCUGCCUGGGUUUGUUUCCUAGGUGUAGAACCACACCACUCAUCUGUCAGUAGCCAUGCUGUGGCCGUGGCUCACAUAGAACUAGGAGGACUUACAACUAGAAUAUACGACUAUGUACUGGCGCUUUGGGGAGGAAAAGAAAAACACAACAAUUGAAAAAAAUUAGCAAUAUUUAUUUAAAAAAUAAAUGCUGAUGUGGGAGGGAGGCAGUGAUCCCUAUCUUUAAAGUCAACAUUCUUUGCUUUGGGAUACUGUAAACGUUUAAAGCAGAUGUACAAUUCAUGCUUGACAGGCCAUGUUAGGCCAUUCUGGAAAAACAAGGUCAGGCCAAAUCAGUUUCAAAUCAAAAUGGCUUCUUCAUAUACCUCAAUAUAUAUUAACUUUUCUUAUUCCUUUUCAUUUGUUCCAUCAUUUUCCCCUUUUGAUAAUUUUUUGAUAGAAAA